CCCUUAGAUGUUCUGGGCCGCACGCGUGCUACACUGAGUGGAUCAGCGGGUCAGGUUGCGCGAAAGCGUUUCCUAAUCUUUAAAUCCGCUCGUGAUGGGGAUUGACGGUUGCAAUUUUCUGUCAUGAACGAGGAAUACCUUGUAAGCGCGGGUCAUCAUCCCGCGCUGAAUACGUCCCUGCCCUUUGUACACACCGCCCGUCGCUCCUACCGAUUGAGUGGUCCGGUGAGGCUUUGGGAUCUGAGCGGAAAGAGCGUUUCGCUGUUUCUGCUCGGAAAACUCAGUCGAACCUUACCAUUUAGAGGAAGGAGAGGUCGUAACA
rnacentral:rRNA from 1 species